ACAUAUAGUAUUGGAAUAGGUGUGUUCGUUUAAUAGCGAAUACUUAAUAGGGAAGUCGGUGAAAAUCCGACAUGGUCCCGCCGCUGUAAGGGUGAGCCUCAUGCAAAUAAGUCACUGGAAUAUCCGGGAAGACGCAUUGGAGCGAUGAACCUAAGUCAGAAGACCUGCCUGUUCUAAAAAUGCUGU
rnacentral:ncRNA from 2 species